UACGUAGGGGGCUAGCGUUGUCCGGAAUCAUUGGGCGUAAAGCGCGUGUAGGCGGUCCGGUAAGUCCGCUGUGAAAGUCGGGGGCUCAACCCUCGAAAGCCGGUGGAUACUGUCGGGCUAGAGUGCGGAAGAGGCGAGUGGAAUUCCUGGUGUAGCGGUGAAAUGCGCAGAUAUCAGGAGGAACACCAGCGGCGAAGGCGGCGCUCUGGGCUGGCACUGACGCUGAGGAGCGAAAGCGUGGGGAGCGAACAGG
rnacentral:rRNA from 1 species